rnacentral:lncRNA from 1 species
GCCCGGACGGUGUUGGUUGGGGUAAGAUUGGGGAAGAUGCCAGGUGAUAGAAUCCACCCUGCCUCUGACAGCAUCCAAUCUGGAGCAAAGGCUUAUUUCAACCCUCCCCCAAGCUCCCAAUACAAGCCCAAAUUCUGGAACAGGUCCUUUCCAACACCUCCUUCAGAGAAGCUCCCUGGCUCCAGGCAGUGCUUGCUCCCCUCACUGCAGCAGGAAGCCUAACUUGCGAACUGCAGGUGUGCUCCAGGUGGUCACUGGAUGCAAGGCAUUGACAGAUGGAUCCCAUCGAUACCCCCACUGCAAAACCAUAGUGCAGUGAAUAGAAGACACUUCUCUGCACCCCAAAAGCUCCAUGCUGAUUGUGAGAAGGAAAUGCUGGAUGGAGGGGUUCCUGGAACUACUGUGAGGGUUUCUUUUGAUUUCUCCUGCUUAGAAAUGGUGCGAGAACUUUGGAUGUGGAACGUGGAGGAGGAGGAACACGAAGUGGGGAUCUGCACUUGGGGUGGUCAGCAC